rnacentral:rRNA from 1 species
UACGUAGGGGGCAAGCGUUGUCCGGAUUUAUUGGGCGUAAAGAGCGUGUAGGCGGCCAGGUAGGUCCGUUGUGAAAACUCGAGGCUCAACCUCGAGACGCCGAUGGAAACCCCCUGGCUAGAGUCCGGAAGAGGAGAGUGGAAUUCCUGGUGUAGCGGUGAAUGACGCAGAUAUCAGGAAGAACACCCCGUGGCUAAGGCGGCUCUCUAGUACGGUACUGACGCUGAGACGCGAAAGCGUGGGGAGCGAACAGG